rnacentral:rRNA from 1 species
CGGUGUUUAACUGGCGUGAUGUGGGACGUCCUACCGGUGGGCUUAGCCUCGCGAGGGGCGGCCCAACUAAUAUCCCGUCGCGGUGCUCUUUACUGAGUGUCGAGUUGGGCCGGUACGUUUACUUUGAACAAAUUAGAGUGCUUAAAGCAGGCUAUCCUCGCCUGAAUACUGCGUGCAUGGAAUAAUGGAAUAGGACCUCGGUUCUAUUUUGUUGGUUUUCGGAACCCCGAGGUAAUGAUUAAUAGGGACAGAUGGGGGCAUUCGUAUUGCGACGUUAGAGGUGAAAUUCUUGGAUCGUCGCAAGACGGACAGAAGCGAAAGCAUUUGCCAAAAAUGUUUUCAUUAAUCAAGAACGAAAGUUAGAGGUUCGAAGGCGAUCAGAUACCGCCCUAGUUCUAACCAUAAACGAUGCCAGCUAGCGAUCCGCCGAAGUUCCUCCGAUGACUCGGCGGGCAGCUUCCGGGAAACCAAAGCUUUUGGGUUCCGGGGGAAGUAUGGUUGCAAAGCUGAAACUUAAAGGAAUUGACGGAAGGGCACCACCAGGAGUGGAGCCUGCGGCUUAAUUUGACUCAACACGGGAAACCUCACCAGGCCCAGACACCGGAAGGAUUGACAGAUUGAUAGCUCUUUCUUGAUUCGGUGGGUGGUGGUGCAUGGCCGUUCUUAGUUGGUGGAGCGAUUUGUCUGGUUAAUUCCGAUAACGAACGAGACUCUAGCCUGCUAAAUAGGCGUACCUUAUGGUAUCGCGAAGGCCCCCGGCUUCGGCCGGUGGGUUUUUACUACCAACGUACAAACAAAUCUUCUUAGAGGGACAGGCGG